rnacentral:rRNA from 1 species
UUGAACGCUGGCGGCAUGCUUUACACAUGCCAGUCGCACGGCAGCGCGGGCUUCGGCCUGGCGGCGAGUGGCGAACGGGUGAGUAAUGCAUCGGAACGUGCCCAGUAGUGGGGGAUAGCCCGGCGAAAGCCGGAUUAAUACCGCAUACGACCUGAGGGUGAAAGCGGGGGACCGAAAGGCCUCGCGCUAUUGGAGCGGCCGAUGUCGGAUUAGCUAGUUGGUGGGGUAAAGGCUUACCAAGGCGACGAUCCGUAGCUGGCCUGAGAGGACGACCAGCCACACUGGGACUGAGACACGGCCCAGACUCCUACGGGAGGCAGCAGUGGGGAAUUUUGGACAAUGGGGGCAACCCUGAUCCAGCCAUGCCGCGUGCGGGAAGAAGGCCUUCGGGUUGUAAACCGCUUUUGUUCGGGAAGAAAUCCUCUGGGCUAAUACCCCGGGGGGAUGACGGUACCGGAAGAAUAAGCACCGGCUAACUACGUG